rnacentral:rRNA from 1 species
CCGGGGACGGGUGGAAGUAGUAUACGGGGGAGUCUGCCUGAUGGCGGGGGAGUAACUACUGGAAACGGUAGCUAUACCGCAUAAUGUCUGCGGACCAAAGCGGGGGACCUCCGGGCCUCGCGCCAUCAGAUGAACCCAUAUGGGAUUAGCUAGUAGGUAAGGUAACGGCUUACCUAGGCGACGAUCCCUAGCUGGUCUGAGAGGAUGAUCAGCCACACUGGGACUGAGACACGGCCCAG